rnacentral:rRNA from 1 species
CCUACGGGAGGCUGCAGUAGGGAAUAUUGCUCAGUGGGGGAAACCCUGAAGCAGCAACGCCGCGUGGAGGAUGAAGGUUUUCGGAUUGUAAACUCCUUUUGUUAGAGAAGAUAAUGACGGUAUCUAACGAAUAAGCACCGGCUAACUCCGUGCCAGCAGCCGCGGUAAUACGGAGGGUGCAAGCGUUACUCGGAAUCACUGGGCGUAAAGAGCGCGUAGGCGGGUUAGCAAGUCAGAUGUGAAAGCCUAGGGCUUAACCAUAGAACUGCAUUUGAAACUGUUAUUCUAGAGUAUGGGAGAGGUAGGUGGAAUUCGUGGUGUAGGGGUAAAAUCCGUAGAGAUCAAGAGGAAUACUCAUUGCGAAGGCGACCUGCUAGAACAUAACUGACGCUGAUGCGCGAAAGCGUGGGGAGCAAACAGGAUUAGAUACCCGGGUAGUC